rnacentral:rRNA from 1 species
AUUGAACGCUGGCGGCAGGCCUAACACAUGCAAGUCGAGCGAGCGGCGGACGGGUGAGUAAUGUCUGGGAAACUGCCUGAUGGAGGGGGAUAACUACUGGAAACGGUAGCUCAUACCGCAUACCAUCAGAUGUGCCCAGAUGGGAUUAGCUAGUAGGUGGGGUAACGGCUCACCUAGGCGACGAUCCCUAGCUGGUCUGAGAGGAGGACCAGCCACACGGGAACUGAGACACGGUCCAUACUCCUACGGGGGGCAGCAGUGGGGAUUAUUGCACAAUGGGCGCAGGCCUGAUGCAGCCCUGCCGCGUUGGGGAAGAAGGCCUGCGGGUUGUAAAGCACUUUCAGCGGGGAGGCAUUACCCGCAGAAGAAGCACCGGCUAACUCCGUGCCAGCAGCCGCGGUAAUUC